UCCGGUUGAUCCUGCCAGAGGUUACUGCUAUCGAGGUUCGACUAAGCCAUGCGAGUCGAAUGUAGCAAUACAUGGCGUACUGCUCAGUAACACGUGGACAACCUGCCCUUAGGACGGGGAUAAACCCGGGAAACUGGGUAUAAUACCCGAUAGGUCUCGACUGCUGGAAUGCAUCGAGAUCUAAAGCUCCGGCGCCUAAGGAUGGGUCUGCGGCCUAUCAGGUAGUAGUGGGUGUAGUGUACCUACUAGCCUACGACGGGUACGGGUUGUGAGAGCAAGAGCCCGGAGAUGGAUUCUGAGACACGAAUCCAGGCCCUACGGGGUGCAGCAGGCGCGAAAACUUUACAAUGCUGGCAACAGCGAUAAGGGAACCUCGAGUGCCAGGUUACAAAUCUGGCUGUCGUGAUGCCUAAAAAGCAUUGCAUAGCAAGGGCCGGGCAAGACCGGUGCCAGCCGCCGCGGUAACACCGGCGGCUCGAGUGGUAACCGUUAUUAUUGGGUCUAAAGGGUCUGUAGCCGGCCGGAUAAGUCUCUUGAGAAAUCUGGCAGCUUAACUGUCAGGCUUUCAGGAGAUACUGUCUGGCUCGAGGCCGGGAGAGGUGAGAGGUACUUCAGGGGUAGGGGUGAAAUCUUGUAAUCCUUGAAGGACCACCAGUGGCGAAGGCGUCUCACCAGAACGGACCUGACGGCAAGGGACGAAAGCUAGGGGCACGAACCGGAUUAGAUACCCGGGUAGUCCUAGCCGUAAACGAUACUCGCUAGGUGUCGGCCACGGUGCGACCGUUGUCGGUGCCGUAGGGAAGCCGUGAAGCGAGCCACCUGGGAAGUACGGCCGCAAGGCUGAAACUUAAAGGAAUUGGCGGGGGAGCACCACAACGGGUGGAGCUUGCGGUUUAAUUGGAUUCAACGCCGGAAAUCUUACCGGGACCGACAGCAAUAUGAAGGCCAGGCUGAAGACUUUGCCGGAUUAGCUGAGAGGUGGUGCAUGGCCGUCGUCAGUUCGUACUGUGAAGCAUCCUGUUAAGUCAGGUAACGAGCGAGACCCA
rnacentral:rRNA from 1 species